rnacentral:rRNA from 1 species
CCUACGGGAUGCAGCAGUGGGGAAUAUUGCACAAUGGGGGAAACCCUGAUGCAGCAACGCCGCGUGAGUGAAGAAGUAUUUCGGUAUGUAAAGCUCUAUCAGCAGGGAAGAAGAUGACGGUAACUGAGUAAGAAGCCCUGGCUAACUAUGUGCCAGCAGCCGCGGUAAUACGUAGGGGGCAAGCGUUACCCGGAUUUCUUGGGUGUAAAGGGAGCGUAGACGGUGAGACAAGUCUGAAGUGAAAGCCCGGGGCUCAACCCCGGGACUGCUUUGGAAACUGCCUGACUGGAGUGCUGGAGAGGCGAGCGGAAUUCCUAGUGUAGCGGUGAAAGGCGUAGAUAUAAGGAAGAACACCAGUGGCGAAGGCGGCUUGCUGGACAGUAACUGACGCUGAAGCACGAAAGCGUGGGUAGCGAACAGGAUUAGAUACCCGGGUAGUC